UACGCUUGACAUGUCCGAGAUCCCGAAGAGAUUUGGGAGUGCUCGAAAGAGAAUCGGAACACAGGUGCUGCAUGGCUGUCGUCAGCUCGUGUCGUGAGAUGUUGGGUUAAGUCCCGCAACGAGCGCAACCCUUGUCAUUAGUUGCUACAUUCAGUUGAGCACUCUAAUGGGACUGCCGGUGACAAACCGGAGGAAGGUGGGGAUGACGUGGAACGGUUGGUU
rnacentral:misc_RNA from 1 species